ACCUGGACGGCUCAGUCGGUGAAGCAUCUGACUCCAGCUCAGGUCAUGAUCUCGCAGUUCGUGGGUUCAAGCCCCACUUUGGGCU
rnacentral:tRNA from 1 species